CUUUAUUUUCCAAAGUUAAAGGUAAUGUUACAAUUGUUAAACACGGGAUUAACAACCCUUUCGUUUUUUAUUACACACCACUCUUUAAACCCAACAAACUUGCUUAACUAAAAUGCUAAAGACGCUUCAUUCAUCUCCGUCAGCGAUGUAGUUAAUGUCUGGUUUGGGCCAAUAUCAUCAGUUUCAUGACCACCAUCGUCGAUCUUCACUUCUUUAACCUUUCUAUAGCAGCUCUCCAGGAAUCAGAAAUCGUCAAAGCCCACUUUCUCGCGUAUCUUGUACUUGGCGGCAUCGAUCUUUCGAGCAAUGUUUGCUCGUCUUCAGCAGUUCGAGCGCUUCGAAACCGACUCAAAUAAUUAUGUUCAAAUUUCCAUUUGAAAACUCCGUUUAACGACUUGUAUGACUUGAUAAUUAAUCCAGUCAUUAAUUUGCUUGCUGAUCAAUGAAGGGAAGAAUCGUAAAACAAUAGAACUAUUGUAGUUAGCAUUUCUUAUUAUUUCAUUGGGACCCAAAACA